AUUGAACGCUGGCGGCAGGCCUAACACAUGCAAGUCGAACGAGUGGCGGACGGGUGAGUAAUGUCUGGGAAACUGCCUGAUGGAGGGGGAUAACUACUGGAAACGGUAGCUAAUACCGCAUACCAUCGGAUGUGCCCAGAUGGGAUUAGCUAGUAGGUGGGGUAACGGCUCACCUAGGCGACGAUCCCUAGCUGGUCUGAGAGGAUGACCAGCCAAACUGGAACUGAGACACGGUCCAGACGCCUACGGGAGGCAGCAGUGGGGAAUAUUGCACAAUGGGCGCAAGCCUGAUGCAGCCAUGCCGCGUGUAUGAAGAAGGCCUUCGGGUUUUAAAGUACUUUCAGCGGGGAGGCGUUACGCGCAGAAGAAGCACCGGCUAACUCCGUGCCAGCAGCCGCGGUAAUUC
rnacentral:rRNA from 1 species